AAGGCCUUCGGGUUGUAAAGCCCUUUUGUACGGGAAGAAAAGCAGCUGGUUAAUAACUGGUUGUGCUGACGGUACCGUAAGAAUAAGCACCGGCUAACUUCGUGC
rnacentral:rRNA from 1 species